CAAAAUUCAAAAGUAUAAAUAAUAACCAAAGUAGAACAAGUAGGCCAGCAUCACUGGUGGGAUAUCUUUACAGGGUAUUCCCCAACAGCAACACAGGU